CGCGGCCUAUCAGCUUGUUGGUGAGGUAGUGGCUCACCAAGGCGACGACGGGUAGCCGGCCUGAGAGGGCGACCGGCCACACUGGGACUGAGACACGGCCCAGACUCCUACGGGAGGCAGCAGUGGGGAAUAUUGCACAAUGGGCGAAAGCCUGAUGCAGCAACGCCGCGUGCGGGAUGAAGGCCCUAGGGUUGUAAACCGCUUUCAGCAGGGAAGAAAAUGACGGUACCUGUAGAAGAAGGUGCGGCCAACUACGUGCCAGCAGCCGCGGUGACACGUAGGCACCAAGCGUUGUCCGGAUUUAUUGGGCGUAAAGAGCUCGUAGGCGGUUCAGUAAGUCGGGUGUGAAAACUCUGGGCUCAACCCAGAGACGCCACCCGAUACUGCUGUGACUAGAGUGCGGUAGGGGAGCGGGGAAUUCCUAGUGUAGCGGUGAAAUGCGCAGAUAUUAGGAGGAACACCAGUGGCGAAGGCGCCGCUCUGGGCCGUAACUGACGCUGAGGAGCGAAAGCGUGGGUAGCAAACAGGAUUAGAUACCCUGGUAGUCCAUGCCGUAAACGUUGGGCACUAGGUAUGGGAUCAUAUCAACGGAUUCCGUGCCGUAGCUAACGCAUUAAGUGCCCCGCCUGGGGAGUACGG
rnacentral:rRNA from 1 species